rnacentral:rRNA from 1 species
GAUGAACGCUGGCGGCGUGCCUAAUACAUGCAAGUCGAGCGAACAGACGAGGAGCUUGCUCCUCUGACGUUAGCGGCGGACGGGUGAGUAACACGUGGAUAACCUACCUAUAAGACUGGGAUAACUUCGGGAAAGCGGAGCUAAUACCGGAUAAUAUAUUGAACCGCAUGGUUCAAUGGUGAAUGACGGUUUUGCUGUCUCUUAUAGCUGGAUCCGCGCUGUAUUAGCUGGUUGGUAAGGUAACGGCUUACGAAGGCGACCAUGCGUAGCCGAACUCAGAGGCUGGUCGGCCACACUGGAGGUGGAACACGGUCCAGGCUCCUGCGGGACGGAGCAGUAGGGAACCGUCCGCAACGGGGGGAAACCUGACGGAGCAACGCCGCGUGAGUGAUGAAGGUCUUCGGAGCGUAAAACUCUGUUAUUAGGGAAGAACAAAUGUGUAGGUAACUGUGCCCGUCUUGACGGUACCUAAUCAGAAAGCCACGGCUAACUACGUG